rfam:Pseudozyma hubeiensis SY62 DNA, scaffold: PHS24.
GCGUUCAUGGUGAAGUGGUUAUCAUAUCUCUUUCCCAUUUUGUGUCAUAUGAGGAUGAUGCGGUGCAAAGAGGAGGCCGCGGGUUCGAACCCCGCUGGACGCA